rnacentral:rRNA from 1 species
CCUGAUGCAGCGACGCCGCGUGAGGGAUGACGGCCUUCGGGUUGUAAACCUCUUUCAGUAGGGAAGAAGCGUAAGUGACGGUACCUGCAGAAGAAGCGCCGGCUAACUACGUGCCAGCAGCCGCGGUAAUACGUAGGGCGCAAGCGUUAUCCGGAAUUAUUGGGCGUAAAGAGCUCGUAGGCGGUUUGUCGCGUCUGCCGUGAAAGUCCGGGGCUCAACUCCGGAUCUGCGGUGGGUACGGGCAGACUAGAGUGAUGUAGGGGAGACUGGAAUUCCUGGUGUAGCGGUGAAAUGCGCAGAUAUCAGGAGGAACACCGAUGGCGAGGGCAGGUCUCUGGGCAUUAACUGACGCUGAGGAGCGUAAGCAUGGGGAGCGAACAGGAUUAGAUACCCUGGUAGUCCACGCCGUAAACGUUGGGCACUAGGUGUGGGGGACAUUCCACGUUUUCCGCGCCGUAGCUAACGCAUUAAGUGCCCCGCCUGGGGAGUACGGCCGCAAG